AUGACAAUGCAACCCGUCAACACCCUCAGCUGGAAUGUGCGGGGUUUAAAUUGCCCUGAUAGGAGGGCUACUGUGAGUGCAACAAUUGCUACCUCAUCGUGCCAAAUUGUGUGUUUACAAGAGACAAAACUUGAGAAUGUAGAUAUGUUUGUCGCCUCCUCCCUGGGUGGUAACAGACUCAAAAAAUUUGCGCAGCGCCAGGCGACGGGAACCAGGGGAGGGAUUCUUCUGUUGUGGGAUGACAGCAUUCUCGAGAUCACUGACAUCACAAUUUCGGCCUUCUGCCUCUCUGGCAUGGUCCGAAUCCGCGCAACCGAUGUGUACUUCAAGUUAACAACCGUCUACGGUCCCACUGACUCCGUGAGCAAAGAUUCCUUCUUCGCCGAGCUUGCCUCCCACAAGCCUGUGUCGGGCCUUGCUUGGCUCGCCAUUGGGGACUUCAACCAAAUCUACCGGGCGUGUGACAAAAACAAGAGAAAUGUAAAUCGGAGUAGAAUCAACCGUUUCCGCGCAACCCUGCAAUCGUGUGAACUCAAGGAAAUUCACCUUCAGAACAGGCGCUUCCCUUGGAGUAAUGAGCGGGACAACCCAACUCUGUGCAAACUAGACUCCUUUUUCUGUAACGCCAAGUGGGACACGACCUUCAACACACAUGUGUUGCAUGCCUUAUCGUCUUCCCUCUCCGACCACUGCCCUCUUCUGCUUGCCGACGCCAAGGGGCCUAGGAGACCACGGUCCUUCAAAUUCGAGAACUUCUAGGUAUCUCUGCCAGGUUUCAGCGAAGUGGUCCAAAAGGCGUGGGACGAGCGCGUGAGCCACACAGAGCCGUUCCUCAUUUUGCACAGUAAACUCAAAAAAAAAACAGCGCUCCGUCUUUCCGAAUGGAGCAAGAAGCUAUUCUCCAAUGCCAGCAUACAACUUCAUGCAGCACUUCUCGUCAUCCUCCGGUUAGAUACUGCACAAGAGCAAAGAUCUCUAUCCCCGGAGGAGCGUGACUUACGCUCUAGGCUUAAGCGCAGGGUGAUUAGCUUGGCUGUGCUUGAGUGGGCAAGAAAAAGUCAAUGUGCUAGGAUUACCAACUUGGGGGACGGGGAUGCCAACACCAAGUUUUUUCAUCGGCGUAUUAAUGCACGCAGACGAAAAAAUCACAUUCACCGGAUUAAGCACGCUAAUGGCUGGGUGACCGAGCAUGAAGAAAAAGAGAAGAUCGUACAUGACCACUUCUCUGAGGUUAUGGGGAGGAGAGGUACGAGCAACAAAGAUUUCAAUUGGGAGGAGCUUGGCACCGAGCCUCAUGAUUUGCAAGACCUUGAUGAUAGCAUCACAGAAGACGAGGUCUGGAUUGCCAUUAAAGAGAUGCCUAGUGAUAAGGCGCCUGGACCGGAUGCACUAGUAGAAAAAGGGUCAUACGUGAAGCCCAAUAGUGCCGGUUUGUAUUAG
rnacentral:rRNA from 1 species